AGCUUCAGUAGCGUAUAUUAAAGUUGUUGCAGUUAAAAAGCUCGUAGUCGCAUUUCUGGCGAGAGGAUCCGGUCCGACCUUUUGGUGGGUUCUUGGGUCUCUUUCGCCAUCCUUGAGUGGUCCGUUCUGGCAUUAGGUUGUCUGAGCGUCAGCCGCUCAUCGUUUACUGUGAGAAAAUUAGAGUGUUCAAAGCAGGCUUAUGCCGUUGAAUAUAUUAGCAUGGAAUAAUAAGAUAGGACCUCGGUACUAUUUUGUUGGUUUGCGCACCAAGGUAAUGAUGAAUAGGGACAGUUGGGGGUAUUUGUAUUUCGUUGUCAGAGGUGAAAUUCUUAGAUUUACGAAAGACAAACUACUGCGAAAGCAUUUACCAAGGAUGUUUUCA
rnacentral:rRNA from 1 species